UGGGGGAUAUUGUACAAUGGGCGAAAGCCUGAUGCAGCGACGCCGCGUGGGGGAUGAAGGCUUUCGGGUUGUAAACCUCUUUCGCUAUCGAACAAGGCCCGCUUAGGGUGGAUUGAGGGUAGGUGGAGAAGAAGCGCCGGCUAACUACGUGCCAGCAGCCGCGGUAAUACGUAGGGCGCGAGCGUUGUCCGGAAUUAUUGGGCGUAAAGGGCUUGUAGGCGGCUUGUUGCGCCUGCUGUGAAAACGCGGGGCUUAACUUCGCGCGUGCAGUGGGUACGGGCAGGCUUGAGUGUGGUAGGGGUGACUGGAAUUCCAGGUGUAGCGGUGGAAUGCGCAGAUAUCUGGAGGAACACCGAUGGCGAAGGCAGGUCACUGGGCCAUUACUGACGCUGAGGAGCGAAAGCAUGGGUAGCGAACAGG
rnacentral:rRNA from 1 species